rnacentral:piRNA from 1 species
UAAACUGGGGAGAAUAAGCUAAUGGG